rnacentral:rRNA from 1 species
CCAAUAGCGUAUAUUAAAGUUGUUGCAGUUAAAAAGCUCGUAGUUGAAUUUCGGGAUUGACACAUCGGUCGUGCCUUAAGGGGUAUGAACUGGUGUAGUCAAUUUCUCACCUUCUGGAGAACCGCGAUGCCCUUAAUUGGGUGUCGCGGGGAACCAGGACCUUUACUUUGAAACAAUUAGAGUGUUUAAAGCAGGCAUUUUGCUUGAAUACAUUAGCAUGGAAUAAUAAAAUAGGACGGCAUGAUUCUAUUUUGUUGGUUUCUAGGAUCACCGUAAUGAUUAAUAGGGAUAGUUGGGGGCAUUAGUAUUCAAUUGUCAGAGGUGAAAUUCUUGGAUUUAUUGAAGACUAACUACUGCGAAAGCAUUUGCCAAGGAUGUUUUCAUUAAUCAAGAACGAAAGUUAGGGGAUCGAAGACGAUCAGAUACCGUCGUAGUCUUAACCAUAAACUAUGCCGACUAGGAAUCAGACGAUGUUAAUUUUUUAAUGACUCGUUUGGCACCUUAC